AACGAACGCUGGCGGCAUGCCUAACACAUGCAAGUCGAACGAGAUCUUCGGGUCUAGUGGCGCACGGGUGCGUAACGCGUGGGAAUCUGCCCUUUGGUUCGGAAUAACAGUUGGAAACGACUGCUAAUACCGGAUGAUGACGAAAGUCCAAAGAUUUAUCGCCAGAGGAUGAGCCCGCGUAGGAUUAGCUAGUUGGUGUGGUAAAGGCGCGCCAAGGCGACGAUCCUUAGCUGGUCUGAGAGGAUGAUCAGCCACACUGGGACUGAGACACGGCCCAGACUCCUACGGGAGGCAGCAGUGGGGAAUAUUGGACAAUGGGCGAAAGCCUGAUCCAGCAAUGCCGCGUGAGUGAUGAAGGCCUUAGGGUUGUAAGGCUCUUUUACCCGGGAUGAUAAUGACAGUACCGGGAGAAUAAGCUCCGGCUAACUCCGUGCCAGCAGCCGCCGUAA
rnacentral:rRNA from 1 species